GUUUUAAUAAUUUAAAAAAAAAUAUUGAUUUUGUAAAUCAAAAAUAAGACCUACCUUUUAAAACU
rnacentral:tRNA from 1 species